UCCCAAGGCUCGCUUCGGCGGGU
rnacentral:siRNA from 1 species